rnacentral:rRNA from 1 species
AUUGAACGCUGGCGGCAGGCUUAACACAUGCAAGUCGAGCGGWAACRRKRRKAGCUUGCUWYYMGSYGWCGAGCGGCGGACGGGUGAGUAAUACUUAGGAAUCUACCUAGUAGUGGGGGAUAGCACGGGGAAACUCGUAUUAAUACCGCAUACGACCUACGGGAGAAAGGGGGCAGUUUACUGCUCUCGCUAUUAGAUGAGCCUAAGUCGGAUUAGCUAGAUGGUGGGGUAAAGGCCUACCAUGGCGACGAUCUGUAGCUGGUCUGAGAGGAUGAUCAGCCACACCGGGACUGAGACACGGCCCGGACUCCUACGGGAGGCAGCAGUGGGGAAUAUUGGACAAUGGGGGAAACCCUGAUCCAGCCAUGCCGCGUGUGUGAAGAAGGCCUUUUGGUUGUAAAGCACUUUAAGCAGUGAAGAAGACUCCRUGGUUAAUACCCAYGGACGAUGACAUUAGCUGCAGAAUAAGCACCGGCUAACUCUGUGCCAGCAGCCGCGGUAAUACAGAGGGUGCAAGCGUUAAUCGGAAUUACUGGGCGUAAAGGGAGCGUAGGUGGCUCUAUAAGUCAGAUGUGAAAUCCCCGGGCUUAACCUGGGAACUGCAUCUGAAACUGUAGAGCUAGAGUAUGUGAGAGGAAGGUAGAAUUCCAGGUGUAGCGGUGAAAUGCGUAGAGAUCUGGAGGAAUACCGAUGGCGAAGGCAGCCUUCUGGCAUAAUACUGACACUGAGGCUCGAAAGCGUGGGUAGCAAACAGGAUUAGAUACCCUGGUAGUCCACGCCGUAAACGAUGUCUACUAGUCGUUGGGUCCCUUGAGGACUUAGUGACGCAGCUAACGCAAUAAGUAGACCGCCUGGGGAGUACGGCCGCA